rnacentral:rRNA from 1 species
AUUUCUAGCUUGCUAGAAGAUGACGAGUGGCGGACGGGUGAGUAAUGCUUGGGAACUUGCCUUUGCGAGGGGGAUAACAGUUGGAAACGACUGCUAAUACCGCAUAAUGUCUUCGGACCAAACGGGGCUUCGGCUCCGGCGCAAAGAGAGGCCCAAGUGAGAUUAGCUAGUUGGUAAGGUAACGGCUUACCAAGGCGACGAUCUCUAGCUGUUCUGAGAGGAAGAUCAGCCACACUGGGACUGAGACACGGCCCAGACUCCUACGGGAGGCAGCAGUGGGGAAUAUUGCACAAUGGGGGAAACCCUGAUGCAGCCAUGCCGCGUGUGUGAAGAAGGCCUUCGGGUUGUAAAGCACUUUCAGUUGUGAGGAAAAGUUAGUAGUUAAUACCUGCUAGCCGUGACGUUAACAACAGAAGAAGCACCGGCUAACUCCGUGCCAGCAGCCGCGGUAAUACGGAGGGUGCGAGCGUUAAUCGGAAUUACUGGGCGUAAAGCGCACGCAGGCGGUUUGUUAAGCUAGAUGUGAAAGCCCCGGGCUCAACCUGGGAUGGUCAUUUAGAACUGGCAGACUAGAGUCUUGGAGAGGGGAGUGGAAUUCCAGGUGUAGCGGUGAAAUGCGUAGAUAUCUGGAGGAACAUCAGUGGCGAAGGCGACUCCCUGGCCAAAGACUGACGCUCAUGUGCGAAAGUGUGGGUAGCGAACAGGAUUAGAUACCCUGGUAGUCCACACCGUAAACGCUGUCUACUAGCUGUGUGUGCCUUUAAGGCGUGCGUAGCGAAGCUAACGCGCUAAGUAGACCGCCUGGGGAGUACGGCCGCAAGGUUAAAACUCAAAUGAAUUGACGGGGGCC